AUGAACGCUGGCGGCAGGCCUAAAACAUGCAAGUCGAACGCUGUAGCAAUACAGAGUGGCGCACGGGUGAGUAACAUGUGGGAAUAUGCCUUUUGGUACGGAACAACGUUUGGAAACGAACGCUAAUACCGUAUGGUCCCUUCGGGGUAAAGAUUUAUCGCCAUAUGGAGGGGUCUGCGUCGGAUUAGCUUGUUGGUGGGGUAACGGCCUACCAAGGCGACGAUCCGUAGCUGGUCUGAGAGGAUGAUCAGCCACACUGGGACUGAGACACGGCCCAGACUCCUACGGGAGGCAGCAGUGGGGAAUAUUGCGCAAUGGGGGAAACCCUGACGCAGCGACGCCGCGUGGGUGAAGAAGGCCUUAGGGUUGUAAAGCCCUUUCAGUGGGAAAGAUUGUGACGGUACCCACAGAAGAAGCUCCGGCUAACUCCGU
rnacentral:rRNA from 1 species